CAGCACCUCAAGUGGUCAGGAGGAUUAUUGGGCCUAAAGCAUCCGUAGCCUGUUCUAUAAGUUUCCGGUUAAAUCCAUUGGCUCAACUAAUGGGCUGCCGGAAAAACUGUAGAACUGGGGAGUGGGAGAGGUAGACGGUACUCGGUAGGAAGGGGUAAAAUCCUUUGAUCUAUUGAAGACCACCUGUGGCGAAGGCGGUCUACCAGAACACGUCCGACGGUGAGGGAUGAAAGCUGGGGGAGCAAACCGGAUUAGAGACCCGCGUAGUCC
rnacentral:rRNA from 1 species